GAGCCGUGAGCAUCGCUGUAGUAAAGGGAGACUUCUUAUGAUUGAACCAAUAGAAGAAGAGGUCAUUGAACAUCCAAAAGAGAGCCUUGAACAUGAAGAAGAAGAUGCAGAAGAAGAGCUACAACCGACUGAAGUUACGGUACAUGCACUAGCCGGCUACUCAAACCCGCAAACGAUGAAAGUUGGAGGCCUUCUCAAACAACAACCGAUCACUGUUCUCAUCGACACGGGCAGAACUAAUAACUUUCUAAAUAGUAAGGUUGUUGUCCA
rnacentral:lncRNA from 1 species